rnacentral:rRNA from 1 species
UCAGAAUGCCGCGGUGAAUACGUUCCCGGGUCUUGUACACACCGCCCGUCACACCAUGGGAGUCGGAAAUGCCCGAAGUCUGUGACCCAACCUGAGAGGGAGGGAGCAGCCGAAGGCAGGUCUGAUGACUGGGGUGAAGUCGUAACAAGGUACC